GUUAGGAAUAUUGGACAAUGGGCGCAAGCCUGAUCCAGCCAUGCCGCGUGAGUGAUGAAGGCCUUCGGGUUGUAAAGCUCUUUAGUCCACGAAUAUAAUGACUGUAGUGGAAGAAUAAGCCCCGGCUAACUUCGUGCCAGCAGCCGCGGUAAUACGAAGGGGGCGAGCGUUAUUCGGAAUCACUGGGCGUAAAGCGUGCGUAGGCUGUUUUGUAAGUCAGAAGUGAAAGCCCAGGGCUUAACCCUGGAAUUGCUCUCAAAACUGCAAGGCUCGAAUGCGGGCGAGGAUAGCGGAAUUGUCAGUGUAGCAGUGAAAUGCGUAGAUAUUGACAGGAACACCAGUGGCGUAAGCGGCUAUCUGGACCGAUAUUGACGCUGAGGCACGAAAGCGUGGGGAUCAAACAGGAUUAGAAACCCUGGUAGUCC
rnacentral:rRNA from 1 species